CCGCUACCUAUGGCGCAAAACCCUUGCCUCGGUCCUCCGCCGCCCCGCUCGUGCUAGGACAUGUAGGGUUAGUGGUGUGAGAACUACAACGAAGUUCCCAGUGGGCUCGGCAUCCGACCUCGCCGACUUACCCACUAGGUCCAUCCAGGCAUAAGUAUUUCAAAGGAGGAAAAGUAACCACUACUAAUGCAACUAAUACUAUGCCUGCAAGAAAGAAGUCAGUAGACAUAUAAUUUCAAUGCGAUGAUGGAAAUGCAUGCAUGCUUCAAUCAUAAUCAAACUUUGGUUCUUACCCAAUCUUACCGGUUAACUCUGUUAAACCCAAUAACUCACAACCCAAAAUCCCUUAAUAACAGGAGACUCGAACCUCCCUAGGGACCGUCAACUGGUGGGACUUUACCACGCCCAGUGGUGACCAACUCCGGAGCGCACCGCUCGAGGGGGAGCGACCUCCCUCAAGCCAAGACGAAAGGUGAGUGUCGAUCUAAUCCUCAACUUGAGGAUCCAUAGCCACUAGUCACAAUGCCAAUAUCACGAUAGGUCUCUACCUAUUUAUUUUUGCCACUUUCGAGACCUUAUCUUCGACCAUGUCCCUAUGGGUUAAACUAUUUCCAAUGGUCAUCUCUCAAUGCAAUUCUUGUUUCUAUGUCAAUGACACCCUUGUUUUCUAAUGUCCAAGUCCAUACUUAUGUUCACACAUCUCGAGGGCCCAAUCACACAUGUCCGUUUUGGUUCUAUC
rnacentral:lncRNA from 1 species